rnacentral:ncRNA from 1 species
UCUUAUCCAGAGCGGCGGAGGGACUAGGCCCGAUGAAGCCCGGCAACCUUCAAGAUUUUCUUGAAAAGGUGCUAAUUCCUGCAGAUUGAAUUUCAAUCUGAAAGAUAAGA